GACAGGAAAGAAGAAUAAAAUGUAAGGAAAGAAAAUGUAACGAGCAAAGGAAAAAUGUAGCAUUUUAUUUUAUACUCCGUGGUUUUCAAUUUGGUACAGUUUGAAAUGUCUUAUUGAUUGUUUAUUUAUAUUAAUGUCAAUGGAUGAAGAGGUAUAAUCCAGUCGGACAGAUAUCAUGAAUACCAUUUAGGGAAACUGAUAGGGUGCAUAGGAUAAUUUCAAUAUUGGUUAUCAAAUUAACCCAGCAUCAGUCAAUAUCAAUUCGAAUUCGAUAUUGUGUGGAAUAUAAUUCUAACAUAGAAAUAGGAUCAAAUAACGAUUAUAUGGACAACUGAAAAGAUCUAUUUUAUAUUACUAAAUCAAUGAAGAAAUAGAGAUUAGCUCUUUUAACAAUGCAGGAAUGAAUUAAAUUAAAAUAUUAUUUUUUUAAAAUGUAUUUAUUUGUCAUACAAAAUUUUAUACAUUUAUUUUCAAAUAAAAUACUUCAAAGUCUCGCAAUCAUUUUCAACUAAAUAGCUAAUAAUUAUCUUUUGAUACUAAUUAUGAUCUCAUAUUUAUUUCUAAAGAGCUUGUUGCGCUCGACUAUUCUGAUUAGUGCAACAUUUCAAAUUCACUCGCGAUCAAAUAAGUUUGUUAACAAUAGUAUUAUACACAGAAAGUGGUAGCCUCGGUAAACGUUGUGUACAAACGAAUCGCAAGCAACGCAAAUGAAGCAUUUGCUUGCAUUUCUAGUUCAAAACCCGUACGGUUUCAUUUAGAACAUAGAAAACAGUCGUGAAAUUCCAGUCACGCUGGGGAAAAUUAAUCGUUCCCUUUAAUGUCCCUAGACGUUAACAUUCAACCAAGAAAAAGCAUCGCGUAUCGUUUUCGAAUAACAAUGCAAACAUAUAUUGCUGAACACACGAGGAAACAGGGCACAUGGUUUCCUGAAAUUGGCGACAUUUAACCUUAGAUCGUGUCAUCUAAACACUUCAAAUACAUAGCUUGAUGCAGCGGGGCGAAUCACUUAUGCGCAUGCUUUCAAGGCAGUAUGUUGCAUUUCCCUGGUAGAGAGCGUAAUCCCGGUCGGUUCGAUUCGCACGAUCGCGCAAUUCGUUCUCAAGGAAUGCGUUGUGCACCCAGUCUGACUGACUGUGUGGGUGUUGGAGCGUUGGGGGUGCAACGUCGUCUUUAUCACCGGCGUAAAUUCGAUGCUCUCACGGCUGAUUUCAAUUCGGCUCCCUCCAAAGAUAUAUGCGUCUCGGUUCAGUGAUGUUCGACUGGACGAUAGAUUUGACGUGAAUAAUUACGAUGAGGUAUAGGCCUGAAAUUGAAUCCAAGUAUAUUUCAAGUAAGUUUGAAAUUUUUAUUAAAAAAGGCACCACGUUAUAUUUUUCUGGUUGCUGGUACGUUUUGCUUUGAAGCAUGCGAGCAAUUUAACAAAUCUUGAGUAAUUUAGCAUCAUGGGAACUACAGUUAAUAUUGGUCAGAUGAUUAGUAUGAAACUCGAUGCGAAACAUCCAAACUCGAUUCGAGUAUUACCAUUUCACUCUCUAGCUUGCUGUUCCAGCAAGUCGAUAUUUAGCGUCUGGGGAUAAUUCUAGAACGCUGAUAACUUUGAUACGCUUUCAUCUGGCCAAAAUUUAAAAAAGUAUAAAGUUAACCCUUCAAUUUUGAAAGAAAUAGUGGAAAUAAAAUAUUAUUCAUAUUUUGUAUCUAGGAAUUUUUGAGUAUGCAAAUUAUAAUUAAUUCAAAUUCAACCGUACUAGAAAUACCAGAGAAAUUUGUGAUGUUCGAGUUAUUAUAAGUUGUAUAAUAUCAUAGAUCAAGGGGUUAAUUUAACUUUUCCUUAAUUUCUCAUUAUUUUCAUCAGCGUUUAAACACUAUUAUUUUAUCAAAUAAUUUUUCAUUAUUUUAGCGUUUAAUCUAUGGACAGAUUAAUUAACUUAAUACACUUUAUUCGAAUAAUACCGUGGCCUAUUCUGUAAAGUGACUUUGCAAGAUGGUUAAACUGUUAGCUGAACGGUGUACAUUUAUUUCUUUGAAGGAACAUAAAUACUGUAGUAAUGAAUUACUUCCUUAUCAAACGAGCUUUUAAAUUACAUAACCGAGGCAUGUUAUAACAUUGUAAAUAUGUACUUCUCGCGUAAUUAUCCUUCGAAGUUGAGCAACUUAUACAUAAGAUUGAAAUAAGGAGCAUCAUUUAUACCGAAAUGAAAUAUAAAUCUCUUUUAAGUCGUACGUACUCUCAAAGGUACAUUUACAUUCAUUUUUCACUAAGAAAUUUGUAAGAUGAUCUUUUCAUAACUAAUUAAAGACACCUCUGUUCUGUGUAAUACAUAAUCUACUUAAAUCUCUUUGAUACCGUAUCAAGUUCUUUUCACUUCUUGCAUUUUAAAAUAAGGGUGCUUAACCUUUUAAAAUAAAAUCGUCCGCUGUAUUUAAAAUAGCAAUUUCAAUUCUCAAUUGGAAAAUGGCUUUUUCUAACUUACUUUCAAUAUUAAUAUCGUCAAAAUUCGAAUUCUGAGGAAUUCCUUUUUAUCCUAUAUCACCACUUAUUCAACUUUCUCUAAUUAGAUUAAAACUAAUUAGAAAUUUCGUUAUUCAAUGCUAAACGUAGAUACCAAAAUUCUUUGAAAUUUCUUUCAAGAUUUGAUUUUGCAAUCAAAAAUAUUGAAUUGAAAUUGUUGCUCCCUCCAUGGUCCGCCGUGAGAGGGUUAAACAAAUUGUACAUCCUCGAUUGAUUCCACGAAUGUAUUGUAACAUUAUACGGUAUAGCAUCGACUGAACUUCUGGGUGGGUGUAUUAGAAUGGCUGAAACUCGGUCAUUGAUAGGAGCCCGGUAACUUCGUAAUAUGCCAUGGCAUGAAACGAGACUUCUCCAGAACGGAUCCAUUUCGCGCGGUAACAGCUAAAGUCAUCGGAUCGGUUCGAUACACCGGUAUCGGUGCACUUUUUCGCGCGACAUAACUCUUCUAAAUUCUCUUCCGGUCCGGGAAACUUUAGGAAAUUCGUGUCACGGCUCGGUGAGGCUGCGGCCGUAUUGUACGCCUGCUUGGAACUACUUCUAUUGCCCUGUUACUUUUUAAAAAUAACAUUCAACUCGGUAGUUCUUUCUUUUAUCGUCAGAGAACGGCUGUUGUACGUUUGCCCCCCUCUCGUCGUGCACGAAGGUGUACGUUGUGCAAUUUUUAAUGAACAACCCAACGAACUGGCAAGAAUAAGAAAAACUUUAAUCUUUCUUUACCUUCGUUUAUCUUUGACAAAGUAAUUCAACAUUUUUGGGGUACGUUCAUUACUUUGGAGCAGGUCAUCAGUGAAAAAGGAGUCUCUUUCACUACAUUCAUUAUAAUACGUUGCAUUUGGAGUGUUACAUUUCUCUUAAAUAAUUUGUUGCCAAAAAUAAUUCUUGAAUUUUGAGUUAUUAAUUAUGUUUCAAGUAGUGAUUCUAAACUUUUGGCCAAUAGUGUGAAUUUUUAUCACUUAAACGAUAAUCGUACAGCCCUUGGAAAAUUUAUCACCCUUAUAAAAUCUCAAUUAACCGAGCCGUGUGACCCAAGUCGAAAGUGUUGCCAACUCUCGUGCCACGUGCAUUCCCAAAGGAACGACCGAGACGUUACACAACUAAGCGUUGAAAGCAGCGAAGCAAUCGAGUUCUUACGAAAGUUACCGCGGUACACCGGAAGAUACCGAAAGGGGGGAACGCAAGGAUUCGUGGGAUCUGACCUGACCGCUUAUCGAACGUGGUUAGCGGUAACAGCCACUCUCGGUUUAUCCCUUAGGACACCGUACGUCGUCGAAGACUACCCGACUUUGCCAACGUAUUGUACCUUUGUGCCAGUAGAAUGCUCUUGUCUCCCUCUUUCCUUUCAUUCUCUCUCUUCUUGCGUUUUCAAAUGUCCACUCUCUUCUAGGAAUAUCGAUAGGAUCUCAUCCGAUGGGCAAAGAAUAUUUUAACUCGAAUAGAACUUUGUAAAUGUAAGUAUUAUAUUUUUGAAAAGGUGAAGAAAUAUUUCAUUCACUCCGACCCGACUCGAGUACCCGCACACCCCUAAUUUUAACUAAUGAAUAAAGGGUAUUUCAAGUGAAAUAGAAUUUUCCAAUUUUCCAAAUUUCCUCCAAAGCACAACAAGAUAACUACCAAAUAAAUUAUUCAUCAAGUCUCAUCAAUCUCCUAUUAUUCCCUCCAUACACACAUGGCGAACAGUUUUUACUAGAAAAGCCGUUGAUUGGCCACCUCCGGCGCGGAACGUUGUUAUCAUUGGACGUGGAGUGUUGUGCAUGUGUAAACCAAUGAACGCAGAGGGAAAUGUGGAGAAUCUGCACACAGAGCCGUACGUCACGACACGAGACGUCGCCCUGGACAAAUGGGAUUCGUGCCGUGCCAUUGACUGCGCCCGACGUACGGACAGAUUAGCGUUAAUGUGUUUUGUUACCCUCCGAACUCGGAUUCAAGCCCGUACCAACUAGGUAUGUGUGUGGAUCCACGUGAAUUUUCACCGCUGGACGAAGUCGAGACAUCGUCCGUGAAAUUAGUCGGGCAAAGAUCCCGUGACCUUCGAACUUGCUUCGAGGAGGAUUCGUUCCGGAAGAAGAGUAUCCGGUGCAAGAAGAGGAAAGGCUUAUCCGUUAUCUGAGGGUAUCGCGGGAGGUACACGUGUUUCCACGCGAGGAAAACAACUCCCGAAGGAUCGUCGAGUUUAAUUGCAGCCGAUAUUGCAAGCACGACAUUUCUAUUCUCACUGGCUAUCGGCGAAACCGGGAUUACCUUGGGUUAUCGUAUUUGCUGUUUCAGGAUUUUUGCGCAGCGACCUCUUGUGAAAUUGAAAGGAUAAACCAGGGAUUUAAUGGACUCUCGAUGAAUCGAUGGGCAGAAAAUUUGUUGGAAUCUACCACCCACCAUGUUUCAACCUCUCUUUUUGCCUGCACGCUUCCUUGCCAACCAACCACCAGCCACCUCGAACCCCUUGAGAA